AACGAACGCUGGCGGCGCGCCUAAUACAUGCAAGUCGAGCGAGAAGACGUAGCAAUACGUUUGUAAAGCGGCGAACGGGUGAGGAAUACAUGGGUAACCUACCCUCGAGUGGGGAAUAACUAGCCGAAAGGUUAGCUAAUACCGCGUACGCUCCUUGGACUUCGGUUCAGGGAGGAAAGCGAUACCGUGGGUAUCGCGCUCUUGGAUGGGCUCAUGUCCUAUCAGCUUGUUGGUGAGGAACGGCUCACCAAGGCUUCGACGGGUAGCUGGUCUGAGAGGACGAUCAGCCACACUGGCACCGCGACACGGGCCAGACUCCUACGGGAGGCAGCAGUAAGGAAUAUUGCGCAAUGGGCGAAAGCCUGACGCAGCGACGCCGCGU
rnacentral:rRNA from 1 species